GCUAAUGUGGCAGAGCCUGGCAAUUGCAAAAGGCCUAAGCCCUUUUAAUCAGGGGUUCAAAUCCCCUCAUUCAGCU
rnacentral:tRNA from 1 species